rnacentral:rRNA from 1 species
CUCCGUAGGUGAACCUGCGGAGGGAUCAUUACCGAGUUUACAACUCCCAAACCCCUGUGAACAUACCUUUAAUGUUGCCUCGGCGGAUCAGCCCGCGCCCCGUAAAACGGGACGGCCCGCCAGAGGACCCAAACUCUAAUGUUUCUUAUUGUAACUUCUGAGUAAAACAAACAAAUAAAUCAAAACUUUCAACAACGGAUCUCUUGGUUCUGGCAUCGAUGAAGAACGCAGCAAAAUGCGAUAAGUAAUGUGAAUUGCAGAAUUCAGUGAAUCAUCGAAUCUUUGAACGCACAUUGCGCCCGCUGGUAUUCCGGCGGGCAUGCCUGUUCGAGCGUCAUUUCAACCCUCAAGCCCCCGGGUUUGGUGUUGGGGAUCGGCUCUGCCUCACGGCGGUGCCGCCCCCGAAAUACAUUGGCGGUCUCGCUGCAGCCUCCAUUGCGUAGUAGCUAACACCUCGCAACUGGAACGCGGCGCGGCCAUGCCGUAAAACCCCAACUUCUGAAUGUUGACCUCGGAUCAGGUAGGAAUACCCGCUGAACUUAAGCAUAUCAAUAAGCGGAGGAAA